CACUGGGAUGGAUGAGCAGCAGAGACAGGGAGACCUGGCCCUCCCAGAACAGAGUGAAGCUGACCAGUCACAGGCUGAGAUGCUUUUAUUGGCGAGUACAGAUAUCCCUAACUUAUAUAACAAGGAAAAACAAUCUAAUCAAUUUUAUGAGCUUGGAAUAUAUUUUAUACUAAAACUAGGUAAGUAUGAUACAAGAAAAACACAGGCCCAUUUUAUUCAUGGACAUGAUUUUUAGAUUCUCUGUCUCUUUCUCUCUGUGUGUAUGUGCAUAUAUGUAUAUACAUACAAAAGUAUAUAGGUAGAUUAAAUAUAUACAGAUGUGUGUGCAUUUGUCAUGGUUGAUUAUGGGUGAAUUCAGGGUUGUAAAAAUAGUUCUAGAGUGAAAAAUCUUGUUGUAUCAUUUAUAUAUUAAUAGACUAAAGACAAAAUCUUAUGAUUUUUCACUGUUCUCAGGCUUAUCUGAUUGGGAUUGCAGUUGCAAUAAAAGCAUUUGAUGUAUUUCAACAUUUACUUAGCAUUAAAAUUCAGUAAUAGGAAAUCUUAAACAUUUUAAAAAUCAAGGAGACAAGGACACUAGCCACCACUGACUCAAUUAAUGUUCAACAUAAUGUUAGAAGUCCUGAACAAUAAAAUAAAGCAAACAAACAAAAAUCCAAGGUAUGAGACUGAUGGGGGAGAAGCGACUUUUUUUCUCUUCUUUUCUUUGUUUUUUGUAGGUGUUGUGACUGUCUACAAAGAAACCAGAGUUAGCAAAUUAUUAGCAUGAAGAUAGUCAGCAAGGAGUGGAAUGCAAAACAAACUCACAAACUCAAAAGCAUUUCAGUUAUAGAAAAUACAAUUGAAGAAGCUCUGUCCUUAAUGGAGACAGCAAUGUUCAACUCUGAAUGAAAUGCCAAAAACAAGUACCUGAAAGCUAAAGACAGUGAACAAAAGCAGGCAAGUUUUGGUGGGAAGAUGAAACUUGGAAGAAGGUGCCAUUAAGAGGAGGUAAGUUUCCUGUUUUUGAUGUGUUAACCUGAGGGCAGUCCACUAAGAGAGUAGCUAAAACACAAUAGAAAUAGAAAGCCAUCUUUUUUUUUUUUUUGGCUUCAACAACCUGAGAGCAGAGUCUGCAGCAACACAGUCACUGGAAGGAGGGGGAAAUCCUAGAACACAGAGAGACAGAGAAGGUCAUGCCCCAAUUUCUGAGUAUGAACUUUGCUUAGAUCUCUAGCUGACCCCUGAAGCACACCUAUGGGGUAGACACAAAGCAGUCUGCAGCUAGUCAGAACUCAACUGAGAUGUGAGUUACUUAUAACCACAGGUUGGGUCAGUUUGCAGUUUGAGUUGAACCAAGUUAAUCGAUUGCCUGCCACAACAAAAACAUCGACACUAUUCUGAGGAGUAAAACAGAAUCCGUGAUCUCCACAACGUAACAGUCACAAUGUCCAGGACACAAUUCACAAUUACUCAGCAUAGGAGGAACCAGAAAAAUGCAGUCCUUUGCAAAAGAUAAGACAAUUAAUGGAAACCAACCCUGAGAAAACAUAGAUGUUGGCCUGAUCAGAUAAGGACUUUGAAACAGCUAUUAUAACUAUGCUCAAUGAGGUAAAAGAAAAUAUGUUGUAAUGAAUGGAAGAUAAGAAAUCUCAGCAAGGAUGGAGAAAUAUUUAGAAAUGUUGAUGAAAAGAGUCAAACUCUGUAAAAUAUUUGAAUAGCUUUAUUCUGAGCCAAAUCUGAGUGACCAUGUGACACAGCCCUCAGGAGGUCCUGAGAACAUGUGCCCAAGGCGGUUGGGGUUCAGCUUGGUUAUAUAUAUUUAGGGGAGGCAUGAGAUAUCAAUCAAAUACAUUUGAAAAAUACAUUGGUUUGUUCCAGUAAGGCAGGACAAUUUGAAGUCGGGGGGAUGAUGCUUCCAGGCUAUAGGUAAAUUUAAUCAUUUUCGGAUUGACAAUUGGUUGAGUUUGUCUAAAGACCUGGAAUUAAUAGAAGAAUUUGAGCAAGAUAAAAAAACCAGAGCUUAGUCCUCAGAAAGAACCAAACAAAUUUUACAAAAGAACAAACAAUAUCUGAGAUAAAAAUAUAUCUCUUAAUUCACUACGCUAAACUGCCCCCCUGCUUUUCAGUGUUUAUCUGUAAGAUCAAGUUUAUGUUUAUCAAUUGUGUUUAGACCUUGUCUCCAUUUACUAAGUUAAGGUCUUUUUGAUUUAUAAGUUUCUGAAAGAGGCCUAAUAAAAAUUCCCACUAUAGCUGUGGCUAUAUCAAUUUUAGCUUGUGAUUCUGACUGUUCCCACUUAUGUAUGUUGAGAUUUUUUGCUAGGGCCAUUCACAUUUAUUAUUAUUAUAUCUUCUUUGUAAAUUGUUCCUUAUGUAGCAUCUCACUUUAUCCUUAUUUAUGUCUUUUCUUAAAUUCUAUUUUCUUUACUUUUUAACAUCAAUAUUUUGUCAAA